rfam:Osedax symbiont Rs1 5221_47, whole genome shotgun sequence.
GCGGGAAUAGCUCAGUUGGUAGAGCGCGACCUUGCCAAGGUCGAGGUCGCCGGUUCGAACCCGGUUUCCCGCU